GUCGAACGAGUUCUCGUUGAUGAUCGGUGCUUGCACCGAGAUUCAACAUGGAACGAGUGGCGGACGGGUGAGUAACACGUGGGUAACCUGCCCUUAAGUGGGGGAUAACAUUUGGAAACAGAUGCUAAUACCGCAUAGAUCCAAGAACCGCAUGGUUCUUGGCUGAAAGAUGGCGUAAGCUAUCGCUUUUGGAUGGACCCGCGGCGUAUUAGCUAGUUGGUGAGGUAAUGGCUCACCAAGGCGAUGAUACGUAGCCGAACUGAGAGGUUGAUCGGCCACAUUGGGACUGAGACACGGCCCAAACUCCUACGGGAGGCAGCAGUAGGGAAUCUUCCACAAUGGACGCAAGUCUGAUGGAGCAACGCCGCGUGAGUGAAGAAGGCUUUCGGGUCGUAAAACUCUGUUGUUGGAGAAGAAUGGUCGGCAGAGUAACUGUUGCCGGCGUGACGGUAUCCAACCAGAAAGCCACGGCUAACUACGUGCCAGCAGCCGCGGUAAUACGUAGGUGGCAAGCGUUAUCCGGAUUUAUUGGGCGUAAAGCGAGCGCAGGCGGUUUUUUAAGUCUGAUGUGAAAGCCCUCGGCUUAACCGAGGAAGCGCAUCGGAAACUGGGAAACUUGAGUGCAGAAGAGGACAGUGGAACUCCAUGUGUAGCGGUGAAAUGCGUAGAUAUAUGGAAGAACACCAGUGGCGAAGGCGGCUGUCUGGUCUGUAACUGACGCUGAGGCUCGAAAGCAU
rnacentral:rRNA from 1 species